CGUUCUUAUUGUGUAUUUAUUAUUAUUUGUUGAAGUACCGGAAGAGCAUAAAGAUGGAGAGACCAUCUUCCGAAUAGUUAAUACUAAUUUUCUGAUUGGUCAGUCACCAUCUUUGUCAUGUGUUGGCGGGAUUGUUGUCCUAUAAAUAAGAUAAUUUGAAUCAUCCAUGUAGAAAUACAUAACAGAAACGUAUAUGUCUACGUAGCGUAUUUCUAGCGACAUAACGCAAGAACGCUUUUCUACUUGUAGAGGUAAAUG
rnacentral:misc_RNA from 1 species